GCGCACUUAGCUCAGUGGUUAGAGCAUCACUGUUGAAAGUUGAGGUUGUGGGUUCAAUUCCCACAGUGCACA
rnacentral:tRNA from 1 species